GUGCUUGCUUCAGCAGCACAUAUACUAAAAUUGGAAUGAAACAGAGAAGGUUAGCAUGGCCCCUGUGCAAGGAUGACAUGCCAAUUUGUGAACUGUUCCAAAUUUUU
ensembl:snRNA U6 U6 spliceosomal RNA